rnacentral:rRNA from 1 species
GUGGGGAAUAUUCCGCAAUGGACGAAAGUCUGACGGAGCAACGCCGCGUGAGUGAUGAAGGUUUUCGGACUGUAAAGCUCUGUUGUUUAGGACGAAAGUGCCUGUUGCAAAUAGUUACAGGUAUUGACGGUACUGAACGAGGAAGCCACGGCUAACUACGUGCCAGCAGUCGCGGUAAUACGUAGGUGGCAAGCGUUGUCCGGAAUUAUUGGGCGUAAAGAGCAUGUAGGCGGGAAUCUAAGUCUGUUGUGAAAAUGCGGGGCUCAACCCCGUAUUGCGAUGGAAACUGGGUUUCUUGAGUGCAGGAGAGGAAAGGGGAAUUCCCAGUGUAGCGGUGAAAUGCGUAGAUAUUGGGAGGAACACCAGUGGCGAAGGCGCCUUUCUGGACUGUGUCUGACGCUGAGAUGCGAAAGCCAGGGUAGCGAACGGGAUUAGAAACCCGUGUAGUCC